rnacentral:rRNA from 1 species
GACGAACGCUGGCGGUGUGCUUCACACAUGCAAGUCGAACGAGGUAGCAAUACCUAGUGGCGGACGGGUGAGUAACGCGUGGGAAUCUGCCUUUAGAUGGGGGAUAACGGGUCGAAAGACUCGCUAAUACCGCAUAUGACGAAAGUUGAAAGGAGUAAUCCGUCUAAAGAUGAGCCCGCGUCCGAUUAGCUAGUUGGGUAGAGUAAAAGCCUACCAAGGCGACGAUCGGUAGCUGGUCUGAGAGGAUGAUCAGCCACAAUGGGACUAGAGACACGGCCCAUACUCCUACGGGAGGCAGCAGU